GUAGUCGUGGCCGAGUGGUUAAGGCGAUGGGCUGGAAAUCCAUUGGGGUCUCCCCGCAUAAGUUUGAAUCCUGUCAACUGCG
rnacentral:tRNA from 2 species